GGGAAGGUGGCUCAGUGGUAGAGCGCUUGCUUUGCAUGCGUGAGGCCCUGGGUUUGAUUCCUAAGCCCCA
rnacentral:tRNA from 1 species